rnacentral:rRNA from 1 species
GACAUGAAGUCAGGCGGACAAACCUGCUGAAUUUAA